rnacentral:piRNA from 1 species
CAACUAACUGAAAAGCGUGGAGCUGCA